CAUGUAGGCGGUCUGUCAAGUCUGAUGUGAAAGCCCGGGGCUCAAUCCCGGAAGUGCAUUGGAAACUGGCAGACUUGAGUACGGGAGAGGAAAGUGGAAUUUCGAGUGUAGGGGUGAAAUCCGUAGAUAUUCGAAGGAACACCAGUGGCGAAGGCGGCUUUCUGGACCGAUACUGACGCUGAGAUGCGAAAGCGUGGGGAGCAAACAGGAUUAGAUACCCUGGUAGUCC
rnacentral:rRNA from 1 species